rnacentral:rRNA from 1 species
CCUACGGGGGGCAGCAGUGGGGAAUAUUGGACAAUGGGCGCAAGCCUGAUCCAGCAAUGCCGCGUGUGUGAAGAAGGCCUUCGGGUUGUAAAGCACUUUGAGUGGGGAAGAAGGCCUGGGGGUUAAUAGCUUCUGGGAUUGACGUUACCCACAGAACAAGCACCGGCUAACUCCGUGCCAGCAGCCGCGGUAAUACGGCGGGUGCGAGCGUUGAACGGAAUGAGUGGGCGUAAAGCGCGCGCAGACGUUUAAGCCCUGGGCUUAACCUGGGAACUGCAUUGGAUACUGUUUGACUGGAGUGUGGUAGAGGGGUGUGGAAUUUCCGGUGUAGCAGUGAAAUGCGUAGAGAUCGGAAGGAACACCAGUGGCGAAGGCGGCACCCUGGACCGACACUGACGCUGAGGUGCGAAAGCGUGGGGAGCAAACAGGAUUAGAUACCCCAGUAGUC